rnacentral:tRNA from 1 species
GCGCAUGUGGCGUAAUUGGUAGCCGCGCCAGACUUAGGAUCUGGUGGCGUAAGCCGUGGGGGUUCGAGUCCCUUCAUGCGCA